ensembl:miRNA
UAUGUAUGUAUGUAUGUGUGUAUAUAUAUAUAUGUAUAUAUAUAUAUAUAUACAUACACACACACACACACACACACACACACACAGA